UACGUAGGGGGCUAGCGUUGUCCGGAAUCAUUGGGCGUAAAGCGCGCGUAGGCGGCCCUGUUAGUCCGCUGUAAAAGUCAAAGGCUCAACCUUUGAAUGCCGGUGGAUACUGCAGGGCUAGAGUCCGGAAGAGGCGAGUGGAAUUCCUGGUGUAGCGGUGAAAUGCGUUGAUCUACAGAGGAACACCAAAAAAGGCGAAGGCAGUCAACUAUUCUGUUCCUGACAUUGAGGCAUGAAAGCGUUGGGAGCAAACCGG
rnacentral:rRNA from 1 species